CGGGAGUAACGCGUGGGCGAACCUGCUCAUACAGGGGGAUAACAGUUAGAAAUGACUGCUAAUACCGCAUAAGCGCACAGCAUCGCAUGAUGCCGUGUGAAAAACUCCGGUGGUAUGAGAUGGACCCGCGUCUGAUUAGGUAGUUGGUGGGGUAACGGCCUACCAAGCCGACGAUCAGUAGCCGACCUGAGAGGGUGACCGGCCACAUUGGGACUGAGACACGGCCCAA
rnacentral:rRNA from 1 species